rnacentral:snRNA from 1 species
AGCUUUGUGCAGUGGCGGUAUUGUAGCCAAUGAGGUUUAUCCGAGGCGUGAUUAUUGCUAAUUGAAAACUUUUCCCAAUACCCCGCUGUGAUGACUUGAAAUAUAAUCAGCAUUGGCAAUUUUUGACAGUCUCUAUGGAGA